UACGGAGGAUGCAAGCGUUAUCCGGAAUGAUUGGGCGUAAAGCGUGCGCAGGCGGUUUUGUAAGCCAGAUGUGAAAUCCCCGGGCUUAACCUGGGAAUGGCAUUUGGGACUGCAAGGCUGGAGUUUGGCAGAGGAGACUGGAAUUCCUGGUGUAGCAGUGAAAUGCGUAGAUAUCAGGAGGAACACCGAUGGCGAAGGCAGGUCUCUGGGCUGAAACUGACGCUCAUGCACGAAAGCGUGGGGAGCAAACAGG
rnacentral:rRNA from 1 species